AUUGAACGCUGGCGGCAUGCCUUACACAUGCAAGUCGAACGGCAGCAUGGGUGCUUGCACCUGGUGGCGAGUGGCGAACGGGUGAGUAAUACAUCGGAACGUACCUUAUCGUGGGGGAUAACGCAGCGAAAGUUGCGCUAAUACCGCAUACGCACGGAGGGGGAAAGCGGGGGACCGUAAGGCCUCGCGCGAUUAGAGCGGCCGAUGUCUGAUUAGCUUGUUGGUGAGGUAAAAGCUCACCAAGGCGAUGAUCAGUAGCUGGUCUGAGAGGACGAUCAGCCACACUGGGACUGAGACACGGCCCAGACUCCUACGGGAGGCAGCAGUGGGGAAUUUUGGACAAUGGGGGCAACCCUGAUCCAGCAAUGCCGCGUGAGUGAAGAAGGCCUUCGGGUUGUAAAGCUCUUUUGUCAGGGAAGAAACAGCAGCUCUAACACAGUCUGCGAAUGACGGUACCUGAAGAAUAAGCACCGGCUAACUACGUGCCAGCCGCCGCCGUAA
rnacentral:rRNA from 1 species